GAACAAAAGGGUAAAAGCUCACUUGAUUUUGAUUCAGUAUGAAUACAAACUGUGAAAGCAUGGCCUAUCGAUCCUUUAGUCCUUAGGAGUUUUAAGCUAGAGGUGUCAGAAAAGUUACCACAGGGAUAACUGGCUUGUGGCAGGCAAGCGUUCAUAGCGACGUUGCUUUUUGAUCCUUCGAUGUCGGCUCUUCCUAUCAUUGCGAAG
rnacentral:rRNA from 1 species